rnacentral:misc_RNA from 1 species
UGAUUACCUUUUAUGUUGCUUUUAGAUAUCCAUGUACACAUUGAUGAAUAUUUUGAACAAACAAAUGCUUACUCUCUUGUCAAGUUGCUUCAUUGACUACUGCUGUUAUGCUAAGCCACCCUGGUACUUGGACUCGCCAUUUUGCCCUGACAUAAUCAUGUCUAUAUGACACGACACUGGAUAUCACAUGGAAUAUUUUUCCAACACACAUCCAUGAAGUGGGAUAUGCCUAGUGAGAGAGCUCAGAUGAAGAGAGUGCUUACCAAAAUGCUUGGCUAUGCACCCUAAUUCACUAAAAUGGGGUUCCUAAUAUCUAUUUCAAUAUUUUUUACAUGAUCCUUUCAUGGCAGCAAGAAGUCUAGAGAUAAAGAAGAAAGAUAAAGAAUAAGAAGGAUAAAAAAAACGAAGAAGAAGAAGAAGAAG